AGUUCCCAGAAUUCUGACACGGAGGCAUGUGCCCAUGAGAUCUUCUUUUCAGGCCUCCAUCCUUCCUGGCCCACCUUUAGUACUGAGGAAUUACAGCAGAAAACAUGAAGAAUUGGUGCUUGCUGACUUGCCUGGGAUUGUAAGUUGUAUCCUGGUACUCUGAGCCUCAUGGAUUUGGGAAGGGAAAUUCUCCCUCAAUGGAACGACUUCCAUCCAAGACUGUUCUGCUCUUCAUCUCCAGAAAGAAGCAAAGGACCUCAAAUCUCAGCAUGUACACCAGUAGGAUCAGGCUGAACAGUUUCAAGCAUUGUGUUUCAGUCCUCAGAGCCACCAUACAAGGUACAGUCUGUUUUUUGAACAAAUGGCACAAUUGAGUCAUGGUGAAGUCAACCUUGUGGAUAAGAAGAAGGAUUAACUCUGGCCCUUGGUAGAGCACUGAUCUCGUAUGAUCAAGGCCCUGGAUCGAACUAUGGGAAAUGAAAAAGAAAUUUCAAACAUAAAGACACACACAAACAAUUUAGAACUACCAAUGCAGCUACUUUCAACUUCACUGUACCUUCCUGAAAUGUUUCAAAUGUAAUAUUGAAACUGAAUAUUUGUGGUGUCUUGAGUUCAAACAUUCAUUCAUUGAUUUAAGUUUCUGAGGAAUGAUGGGUACUCAUCUAGUCUCAGUCCAUUUAAGAUUCACAAACAUUGUCCCAGACAAUGAGACCCAUCUUUCUUCAGCAUAGAGAAGAUGAAUCACUAGACUAUGCACGUAGCAGUAAAGGGGCUUGAUACAGCCAAACUUUGGCUCAGACCCUCUGGCCAGGCCCAUUUGGAUAAUGUGCCUGCUUUUGCACAGUUGUCAGUCUUAUCAGCAAGUGUCCUGUGAGCAAAAAAACCAAGAAGACUCCUCCAGUAAGAGUAAAAGAUGCUUGUGACUGUCUGCAGUUAAGGUAGUAGAGUUCUCAUAACUUGGGCCUUCAUUUCUCCAGGCCCAGCUGUCCCCUGGCUUUGGCAGUGGCAUAUUGAUGGGACUGUCUGUUCUAGAAAACACAUGCUGGGAUGUUAGAAAGGAUGAGCUCUCAGCUUCCAUAGUGAUAUCUCUUUUGGAGCCCUUACUUGAGGGCCUAGUACCAAAUCAGGCCAUAUUCACAGAUGGUUCUUUCUUCCCCACCACUGAUAAUCAGGCCUUUCUUUAUUUUAUUCAUAUUACUGUUGUUGAUAGAGUCUCAUGUUUCCCAGGCAGGCACAGAGUCAUGAUCCUUCUGCCCUAUGUCCAUGGCGUUGAAAUAAGAGGCUUGUCACCAC
rnacentral:lncRNA from 1 species